UGGGGAAUAUUGCACAAUGGGCGCAAGCCUGAUGCAGCCAUGCCGCGUGUAUGAAGAAGGCCUUAGGGUUGUAAAGUACUUUCAGUCGGGAGGAAGGUGCUGAGUUUAAUAUGCUCAGCAAUUGACGUUACCGACAGAAGAAGCACCGGCUAACUCCGUGCCAGCAGCCGCGGUAAUACGGAGGGUGCAAGCGUUAAUCGGAAUUACUGGGCGUAAAGCGCACGCAGGCGGUUGAUUAAGUCAGAUGUGAAAUCCCCGGGCUCAACCCGGGAAUUGCAUCUGAGACUGGUCAGCUAGAGUCUUGUAGAGGGGGGUAGAAUUCCAUGUGUAGCGGUGAAAUGCGUAGAGAUGUGGAGGAAUACCGGUGGCGAAGGCGGCCCCCUGGACAAAGACUGACGCUCAGGUGCGAAAGCGUGGGGAGCAAACAGG
rnacentral:rRNA from 1 species